rnacentral:rRNA from 1 species
GGGUUGGUCAUUCAUACAGAUGCCUGCAAAGGUUUAGAAGUGGCCGUGGACAAUGUGUUCCCUGGAGUACAACAUAGGGAAUGCAUGCGUCACCUUGCUGCAAAUUUCAUGAAGAAAUUCAAAGGAAAGGUGUACACCAAUAAUUUAUGGCCAGCAUCUUUGACAUGCAGUGUGAAGAAGCACAACUACCACUUGAGGCAGUUAUACAUGAAUCCCAAAGUGAAAGAAUACUUGGAAACACACCACUCCAAGUUAUGGGCCAGAAGCCAAUUCAGUGAAGUGAGCAAAGUUGACUAUGUGCACAAUAAUCUAGCAGAGUCUUUCAACUCAACGAUCCAGAAA